UUCAAGAAAACAGAGGAGAUCAGUUUCGACAUAGCUUCCGCCGCUUUUAAAUAUUAGCGUAAUCUCUUCGCUUUUGCUGACGUAUUUGCCAAGGUUGUAUAUACGAUAUUUCACGAUAUGAUGGAUAAAAUAAUAUACGGCUUAGCCAGUUUCGCCAGUCUUUUUCCCACUUUUCCUCGCCUUCGGUCGUGGUCAGGCUUAUUGAUAGUUAUUCAGUAUGUCUUGGCAUGCGUGCACGUGCUUCGCGUGUUCCUUAGUCACGUGCACGCCCGGCGGAUACCGUGGGACGAGUGGCAGAAGUAGAAAGGAGCCCCUUGCGCCAAAGCGUAAUCGCUCGCCGAAAACCAAAUGAUGGGGGCGGCAAGGACGGUGCAAUGGAAAAGGAUGCCACGCUUCAAACGCCGUCAUUAGAACACAAAGACAAAGAAAAAGUGCGCAAAUGACAUCUACCGCCGACGUUGUCUUUUAAUUGAACACGCAAGAACCUCGGACGCAUUUCAAUUUCGCAAAACUUGACGAAUAGCUACGAAACGCAAAUGAUUCUCCGUUACAACGGCCGUUUUUACAACACAAAAGAACAUCUAUAUUAGGACCGUAGAAAAGCGGUAACUCGCUUAAUGAGACGCUUUGAUUCUUCCGAUGGUCGUCGAUCGCGAACUCGUUAAUGCUUCUUACAUCAUCCUAAUAUGCGGACAGUCGCAAAGAUGAUAUACCACGCACGCCAAUGUCGCUACGAUUCAAUCAAGCCAUUAAAAAUAUGAGACCGCCUUUGCUCUUUUACUACAUCA